AGUUUCAGAAACUCUGACCUAAAGACACCAUAUCCCCUCUGAUCUUGGAAGCCAAAUAGGGUCAGCCCUGGUUAGUAUUUGGAUGGGAGGCUGCCAACAAAUACCAGGUGCUGUUAGUA
rnacentral:rRNA from 1 species